rnacentral:rRNA from 1 species
GAUGAACGCUGGCGGCGUGCCUAAUACAUGCAAGUCGAGCGAACAGACGAGGAGCUUGCUCCUCUGACGUUAGCGGCGGACGGGUGAGUAACACGUGGAUAACCUACCUAUAAGACUGGGAUAACUUCGGGAAACCGGAGCUAAUACCGGAUAAUAUAUUGAACCGCAUGGUUCAAUAGUGAAAGACGGUUUUGCUGUCACUUAUAGAUGGAUCCGCGCCGCAUUAGCUAGUUGGUAAGGUAACGGCUUACCAAGGCAACGAUGCGUAGCCGACCUGAGAGGGGGAUCGGCCACACUGGAACUGAGACACGGUCCAGACUCCUACGGGAGGCAGCAGUAGGGAAUCUUCCGCAAUGGGCGAAAGCCUGACGGAGCAACGCCGCGUGAGUGAUGAAGGUCUUCGGAUCGUAAAACUCUGUUAUUAGGGAAGAACAAAUGUGUAAGUAACUAUGCACGUCUUGACGGUACCUAAUCAGAAAGCCACGGCUAACUACGAG